CCGAGUUACCAAACUCCAAACCUUUGUGAACCUACCAUUGUUGCUUCGGCGGACGGCUCCGGGGGAGCCUCAGGCCCUCGCGGUGUCCGCCGAAAGCCCCAUACUCUUCUGUAUUUUUGGUAUUUUCUGAAUGCAAAAAACAAACAAGUAA
rnacentral:misc_RNA from 1 species